CGGCAACAGCUCAAAUUUGAAAUCUGGCCCCCCGCGGGGUCCGAGUUGUAAUUUGUAGAGGAUGCUUCUGGGCGGCCACCGGUCUAAGUCCCUUGGAACAGGGCGUCACAGAGGGUGAGAAUCCCGUACGUGACCGGCCAGGCCCCCUCCGUGAAGCUCCUUCGAC
rnacentral:rRNA from 1 species